rnacentral:rRNA from 1 species
CUACGGGGUGCACCAGUGGGGAAUAUUGCACAAUGGGCGCAAGCCUGAUGCAGCCAUGCCGCGUGUAUGAAGAAGGCCUUCGGGUUGUAAAGUACUUUCAGCGGGGAGGAAGGGAGUAAAGUUAAUACCUUUGCUCAUUGACGUUACCCGCAGAAGAAGCACCGGCUAACUCCGUGCCAGCAGCCGCGGUAAUACGGAGGGUGCAAGCGUUAAUCGGAAUUACUGGGCGUAAAGCGCACGCAGGCGGUUUGUUAAGUCAGAUGUGAAAUCCCCGGGCUCAACCUGGGAACUGCAUUUGAUACUGGCAGGCUUGAGUGUCGUAGAGGGGGGUAGAAUUCCAGGUGUAGCGGUGAAAUGCGUAGAGAUCUGGAGGAAUACCGGUGGCGAAGGCGGCCCCCUGGACGAAGACUGACGCUCAGGUGCGAAAGCGUGGGGAGCAAACAGGAUUAGAUACCCCUGUAGUC